rnacentral:rRNA from 1 species
UACGUAGGUGGCAAGCGUUGUCCGGAUUUACUGGGCGUAAAGCGUGCGCAGGCGGUCUGUUAAGACAGAUGUGAAAUCCCCGGGCUUAACCUGGGAAUUGCAUUUGUGACUGGCAGGCUAGAGUAUGGCAGAGGGGGGUAGAAUUCCACGUGUAGCAGUGAAAUGCGUAGAGAUGUGGAGGAAUACCGAUGGCGAAGGCAGCCCCCUGGGCCAAUACUGACGCUCAUGCACGAAAGCGUGGGGAGCAAACAGG